UGAGGAAUAUUGGUCAAUGGGCGAGAGCCUGUACCAGCCAAGUAGCGUGCAGGAUGACGGCCCUAUGGGUUGUAAACUGCUUUUAUGUGGGGAUAAAGUGCGUGACGUGUCAUGCAUUGCAGGUACCACAUGAAUAAGGACCGGCUAAUUCCGUGCCAGCAGCCGCGGUAAUACGGAAGGUCCGGGCGUUAUCCGGAUUUAUUGGGUUUAAAGGGAGCGUAGGCUGUCUAUUAAGCGUGUUGUGAAAUUUACCGGCUCAACCGGUGGCUUGCAGCGCGAACUGGUCGACUUGAGUAUGCAGGAAGUAGGCGGAAUUCAUGGUGUAGCGGUGAAAUGCUUAGAUAUCAUGACGAACUCCGAUUGCGCAGGCAGCUUACUGUAGCAUAACUGACGCUGAUGCUCGAAAGUGCGGGUAUCAAACAGG
rnacentral:rRNA from 1 species